rnacentral:rRNA from 1 species
UACGUAGGGGGCAAGCGUUGUCCGGAUUUAUUGGGCGUAAAGAGCGUGUAGGCGGCUAGGUAGGUCCGUUGUGAAAACUCGAGGCUCAACCUCGAGACGCCGAUGGAAACCAUCUGGCUGGAGUCCGGAAGAGGAGAGUGGAAUUCCUGGUGUAGCGGUGAAAUGCGCAGAUAUCAGGAAGAACACCCGUGGCUAAGGCGGCUCUCUAGUACGGUACUGACGCUGAGACGCGAAAGCGUGGGGAGCGAACAGG